rnacentral:rRNA from 1 species
AUUGAACGCUGGCGGCAUGCCUUACACAUGCAAGUCGAACGGCAGCAUGAUCUAGCUUGCUAGAUUGAUGGCGAGUGGCGGACGGGUGAGUAAUACAUCGGAACGUGCCCUGUAGUGGGGGAUAACUAGUCGAAAGAUUAGCUAAUACCGCAUACGACCUGAGGGUGAAAGUGGGGGACCGCAAGGCCUCAUGCUAUAGGAGCGGCCGAUGUCUGAUUAGCUAGUUGGUGAGGUAAAGGCUCACCAAGGCGACGAUCAGUAGCUGGUCUGAGAGGACAAUCAGCCACACUGGGACUGAGACACGGCCCAGACUCCUACGGGAGGCAGCAGUGGGGAAUUUUGGACAAUGGGCGAAAGCCUGAUCCAGCAAUGCCGCGUGUGUGAAGAAGGCCUUCGGGUUGUAAAGCACUUUUGUCCGGAAAGAAAUGGCUCUGGUUAAUACCUGGGGUCGAUGACGGUACCGGAAGAAUAAGGACCGGCUAACUACGUG